rnacentral:rRNA from 1 species
CGACCCCAGCUUAGGUGAGAACACCCACUGAGUUUAAGCAUAUAAUUAAGUGGAGGAAAAGAAACUUACAAGGAUUCCCCUAGUAAUGGCAAGCGAACUGGGAAGAGCCCAACAUGAAAAUUGGGUGGAAGCGUCGCCUGAAUUGUAGUCUGUAGAAGCAUCCUUAGCAGUUGACUGGGCUCAAGUCCCCUGGAAGGGGGCGCCUGAGAGGGUGAUAGACCUGUCUGGCCAGGACCCUGCCGCACCACGAGGUGUUUUCGGUGAGUAGGGUUGUUUGGGAAUGCAACCCUAAUUGGGUGGUAAAUUUUGUCCAAGGCAAAAUAUGGGCGAGAGACCGAUAGAGAACAAGUACCGUGAGGGAAAGAUGAAAAGGAAUUUGAAAAGAGAGUUAAAGAGUGCUUGAAAUUGCUGGGAGGGAAGUGGAUGGAGGUUGGCGAUGCAUCUCAGUCGGAUGCAAAAUGACUCAAGAUGGUCCGCUGCUCGACUCGAGGUGCGAGCCAGGACAUGCCGUUGCAUCGACACAAGCACGGGUGGAGUACUGUCUAUUGGUUUGUCAUUGUGGCGGUCGAGGAAUGAAGCGUGCACCCUUGGGGUGGGCCACUGUGCACUUGCACACUCGUGGUGUUGGUUGGAGGGCUUUCCAUUCGACCUGUCUUGAAACACAGACCAAGGAGUCUAACAUGUGUGCGAGUUGGUGGGUUUGUAAACCUGUGAGGUGUAAGGAAGCUGACGGGCAAGAACCCCUCUCCAUCGAGUGCAUUGUCGACCGACCUUGAGCUUUUGUGAAGGGUUCGAGUGCAAGCACACCUGUUGGGACCUGAAAGAUGGUGAACUAUGCCUGAGUAGGGUGAAGCCAGAGGAAACUCUGGUGGAGGCCCGUAGUGAUAAUGACGUGCAAAUCAUUCGUCUAACUUGGGUAUAGGGGAAAAAGACUAAUCGAACCAUCUAGUAGUUGGUUUCCUCCGAAGUUUCACUCAGAAUAGAUGGAUCUCAUGUGUGAGUUUUAUUGGGUAAAGAAAAUGAUUAGAGGCAUUGGGGGCGUAACGCCCUCGACCUAUUCUCAAACUUUAAAUCGGUAAGAUAGUGCGGUUGCUCCAUUGAGCCGUUCCACGAAAUCGAGAGCUCCAAGUGGGCCAUUUUUGGUAAGCAGAACUGGCGAUGUGGGAUGAAUCGAAAUUUGAGCUACGGUGCCAAACUGAACGCUAACCCAGAUCCCACAAAGGGUGUUGGUUGAUUAAGACAGUAGGAUGGUGGUCAUGGAAGUCGAAAUCCGCUAAGGAGUGUGUAACAACUCACCUGUCGAAUCAACUAGCCCCGAAAAUGGAUGGCGCUAAAGCGCAUGACCUAUACUCAACCAUCGCAGCAAUUUCUAAGAUUCGAUGAGUAGGAGGACGCGAGGGUCAUUGAGAAACCUUAGGCGUGAGCCUGGGUGGACCGGUCCCCAGUGCAGAUCUUGGUGGUAGUAGCAAAUAUUCAAAUGAGAACUUUGAAGACUAAAGUGGGGAAAGGUUCCAUGUGAAUAGCACUUGGACAUGGGUUAGUCGAUCCUAAGAGAUGGGGAAUCCAUGUAUCAAGGGUGCACUCUGCACAAACAUCUAAAGGGAAUCAGGUUAAUAUUCCCAAACUAAGACAUGGUAGUGGACGACAACGUUAGGAAAUCUGGAGACGUCAUUGGGGGCCCUGGGAAGAGUUAUAUUUUCUUUUUAACAGCUUGCCCACCCUGAAAUUGGCUCAACCAGAGAGAGGGUCUAGUAGCUGGAAGAGAAUCACACAUCUUGUGGUGUCCAGUGCACCCUCGGUGGCUCUUGAAAAUCUGGAGGAACGAAUACCGUCCAUGCCCGGUCAUACUCAUAACUGCAUCAAGUCUCCAAGGUGAACAACCUCUGGUCAGUAGAAUAAUGUAGGUAAGGGAAGUCGAAAAAAUGGAUCCGUAACUUCGGGAAAAGGAUUGGCUCUGAGGGCUGGGCCUAGGGGACUGCAUCCUCAACUUGUGGGUUGUUGGCAGUCUGCCCGAGCUACUAUUGUGGCGAGGGCGGGAAGUCGUGUGUCGAUUGGGCUACAAACAUAGAAUGUCCCCUCGCGAGGGAUUUUCCCUAGGCAGCGAACAAUCGAUUCAAAACUAGUACAGACAAGAGGAAUCUGACUGUUUAAUUAAAACAAAGCAUUGCGAUGGUCCCUGUGGAUGCUGACGCAAUGUGAUUUCUUCCCAGUGCUUUGAAUGUCAAAGUGAAUAAAUUCAACCAAGCGCGGGUAAACGGUGGGAGUAACUAUGACUCUAUUAAGGUAGCCAAAUGCCUUGCCAUCUAAUUAGUGACGUGCAUGAAUGGAUUAAUGAGAUUCCCAUUGUCCCUAUCUACUAUCUAGAGAAACCAUAACCAAGGGAACGAGCUUGGCAGAAUCAGCGGGGAAAGAAGACCUUGUUGAGCUUCAAUCUAGUCCGACUUUUUGAAAUGACUUGAGAGGUCUAGAAUAAGUGGGAGUCAUUUUCGGCGCAAGUGAAAUACCACUACUUUUAACGUUAUUUUACUUAUUUUGUGGGGCGGAUAUGGGGCAUUGCCCCUAUUUUUGGACUUAAGACACGUUUCGACGAGUCGAUCCAGGCGGAAGACAUUGUCAGGUGGGGAGUUUGGCUGGGGCGACACAUCUGUUAAAAGAUAACGCAUGUGUCCUAAGAUGAGCUCAAUGAGAAUAGAAAUCUCGUGUAGAACAAAAGGGUAAAAGCUCAUUUGAUUUUGAUUUUCAGUAUAAAUACAAACCGUGAAAGCGUGGCCUAUCGAUCCUUUAGAAUUUUGAAAUUUGAAGCUAGAGGUGUCAGAAAAGUUACCACAGGGAUAAUUGGCUUGUGGUAGCCAAGCAUUCAUAGCGACGUUGUUUUUUGAUCCUUCGAUGUCGACUCUUCCUAUUAUUGUGAAGCAGAAUUCACCAAGUGUUGGAUUGCUCACCCACUAAUAGGGAACGUGAGUUGGGUUUAGACCGUCGUGAGACAGGUUAGUUUUACCCUACUGAUGAACCGUGCCGCAAUAGUAAUUCAACUUAGUAUGAGAGGAACCGUUGAUUCACACAAUUGGUCAUCGCGCUUGGUUGAAAAUCCAGUGGUGCGAAGCUACCGUGUGUUGGAUUAUGACUGAAUGCCUCUAAGUCAGAAUCCACGCUAGAAGUGGCGCUUGUCACUCCUCGAUUGUAUCUUGACCCGUAGUAGGGGUGUCACUUCGGCACCCCCAGGGGCCCAUGUCACUUGCGAACCUUGUUCAGGAAGCAUCUCGGUCAGGGAAGCUUUGAAGUUCAAUUUCAAACGGUCGUUGAGAAGAAUCCUUUGCAGACGACUUAAAUACAUGAUGGGGUAUUGUAAGUGGCAGAGUGGCCCUGCUGCCACAAUCCACUAAGAUUCAUCCCUUCAUCACCUCGAUUCAA